rnacentral:rRNA from 1 species
GACGAACGCUGGCGGCGUGCUUAACACAUGCAAGUCGAACGGAAAGGCCCUGCUUUUGUGGGGUGCUCGAGUGGCGAACGGGUGAGUAACACGUGAGUAACCUGCCCUUGACUUUGGGAUAACUUCAGGAAACUGGGGCUAAUACCGGAUAGGAGCUCCUGCUGCAUGGUGGGGGUUGGAACGUUUCGGCGGUUGGGGAUGGACUCGCGGCUUAUCAUCUUGUUGGUGGGGUAGUGACUUACCAAGGCUUUGACGGGUAGCCGGCCUGAGAGGGUGACCGGCCACAAUGGGACUGAGAUACGGCCCGGACUCCUACGGGAGGCAGCAGUGGGGAAUAUUGCACUAUGGGCGGAAGCCUGAUGCAGCAACGCCGCGUGCGGGAUGACGGCCUUCGGGUUGUAAACCGCUUUCGCCUGUGACGAAGCGUGAGUGACGGUAAUGGGUAAAGAAGCACCGGCUAACUACGUG